UACGAAGGGUGCAAGCGUUGUUCGGAAUUACUGGGCGUAAAGCGCGCGUAGGCGGGCUUGUAAGUCGAUUGUGAAAGCCCUGGGCUUAACCUGGGAAUGGCAGUCGAAACUGCAAGUCUUGAAUGUCUGAGAGGAUGGCGGAAUUCCCGGUGUAGUAGUGAAAUACGUAGAUAUCGGGAAGAACACCUGAGGCGAAGGCGGCUAUCUGGCGGCACAUUGACGCUGAGGCGCGAAAGCGUGGGGAGCAAACAGG
rnacentral:rRNA from 1 species